CCUACGGGUGGCAGCAGUGGGGAAUAUUGCACAAUGGGGGAAACCCUGAUGCAGCAACGCCGCGUGAGUGAAGAAGGUUUUCGGAUCGUAAAGCUCUGUUAGCAGGGAAGAGGAAGGACGGUACCUGCAGAGGAAGCCACGGCUAACUACGUGCCAGCAGCCGCGGUAAUACGUAGGUGGCAAGCGUUGUUCGGAAUAACUGGGCGUAAAGGAUGCGUAGGCGGUUAAACAAGUUAGAUGUGAAAUAUAUAGGGUAAACAGGUAGAAAGCAUGUGAAACUGUUUAACUAGAGUGCAGAAGAGGAAAGUGGAAUUCCAGGUGUAGCGGUGGAAUGCGUAGAGAUAAGGAAGAAC
rnacentral:rRNA from 1 species